CAGCUGCACGAGUCAGGCAAAAUCAAGAGGAAAACAAUAUUUGUUAUGCUGCUCAGAUAAUACUACAGUCUGGUUUCACUAUCUGUCAUUCUGGGACGACAAGACAUACUUUCCACACUACUUGCUACUUUUUCUGACCUGGUGUUGCAGGAGGUAGGAUGAUAUGAAGAUAUUCACUGUCUCCCCCAGAAUCCAUCAACCAACUGUGAAAAAAGUUUUGUAGACUCAACAGAUCUGAAAAAAAGAAGGUUUCCGGCCUUGGACAGAAUUAACUCUCUCGUAAACUCAGAGGUUGUGUCCACAACAGACAUGCUUGAACAGUUCUCUGAUGGAAGCAUUCCAGAUAUUACCCACACUCACACUUGGAAGUAUGUGAUUGCAUAUAAACUUGAAUGUAAUUUUUAUAGUCUGGUUACUGAAAAAAAAAAAAGGUCACAUGACAUAAGCCCGACUCAACUUGUUUCCUUAAUUCAAACUAUAUUUUCAAUGUACAUAUUUAGGGGGUAACUACAUGUAUGUUGUAUUUGACCAUUUGUGGAUGUUAAUACUGAUUUUACUUUCGCAAAUUGAGUUUUACCAGCAAUGCAAAAUGGAGACGGUAAAACGGAUAUCCCCAUUCUAAUUCAAAAAAUCCAUUUAAAAAGAUUUUUUAAAUUUAAAUAAUAAAUUGUUUGGAAAGAAUGCAGCAUUAACAAAAACCUAGUCACUUCUAUUGUGUCUGUCUUAUACAAUAUACAUUUUAACAUAUAAUACAUCUAUUGAACCUAAA